rnacentral:tRNA from 1 species
GUAGAUAUAGUUUAACAAAAACAUUAGAUUGUGAUUCUGAAAAUAGGGGUUAAACUCCCCUUAUCCACC